UACGUAGGGGGCAAGCGUUGUCCGGAAUCAUUGGGCGUAAAGAGCUCGUAGGCGGCCUGUUGCGUCCGCUGUGAAAUCCCGGGGCUUAACCCCGGGCGUGCAGUGGAUACGGGCUGGCUGGAGGCAGGCAGGGGAGAACGGAAUUCCCGGCGUAGCGGUGAAAUGCGCAGAUAUCGGGAGGAACACCGGUGGCGAAGGCGGUUCUCUGGGCCUGUACUGACGCUGAGGAGCGAAAGCGUGGGGAGCGAACAGG
rnacentral:rRNA from 1 species